UAUGUAUUUCCUGAAACACAACAUUCAAUUAUAUCAGUGUUAAGACAUCGUCUUUUAAUUUUCACUUCCUGUAUUACACUUAACAGUUACUGUCUGUGUGUUCUUGCUCAAGACCACUGGUAGGUUCAGAAAUAGAACACGGUACCUAGGUCAUAAUGGAAGUUUACCACGUUGACAAAGCCCUUUGACAGAUUGCAGGAAAUAAAAGUCAACCAAACAGGAAGUAGGUAGAGUAGACCAGAGCAGCCGGAAAUAUUUGGGCCUAUCACAAGAUUAGUCUAUUUACAGAACAAAUAUGUACCAAACAAGAUAUAAAACUGAAAUGUUUAAUUUGUGAACACUUAAAAAGAGAUCAAGAAAGAAGGGAAAACAAACCAGGAAGUAAAGGGGAGAAAGAAAUAAUGUCUUUCACUGGAAUAAAUUAUUGCAUAAAAAAAAAGUCUCUUGUCCAGAUAGCAGCAGUUUUAAAACACUUAUGCAAAUUCCCUGGCCCUCCUCCCAUGAAGGGGUGAAUUCGCUGCCCCUCCCAUUGAUCUGGACCAGAUCUUAGUGACUGCUUGACCAUCAGGGUUUGGCAGACGUGACACUGUGUAACUUUCCUGGCUAGGUCAUAACAGUUAAUGUAGAUGCUCCCUGGUUGUCUGGACGCUGUGUUGGAGCCUUGAGCCACUGUGUAAGAAGCACUGCCACCCUGAUACCACCAUACUGUGAGGAAGCACUGAUUAACCCACAAAAAUUGACCACAGGGAAAGGCACUGAGAUGGAAAGAAACACCCAGCCGACUGGAGCUCUUUCCAACAUCUCCUGUCUCUGCAACUGCGUGAGAGACCCCAAGCCAGGCCACCCACUGGGACCCCUCUUGAACCCUGCUCCUACAGAAACCACAGCAGAUGAUGGGGUGGUUUGUCAGGCAGUAAUGGACAACUGGAACAAUGGAGCAGAUGAUUUAAAUGUUAGGGCUCUUAAUAAGUAGGGAAAGAACUCAGGCACCCAAUAGAAGUCAUCAUAACUCGUUACCAUGACAAGCAGGAUGAAGUGGUAGUUUCUAGUCAGAGGAUCUGUUACCAAGAAUCAAAGUAAUUAACUGAUAUUCAUAUUACCAACAAACUAUAACAGGUAUUUGGGCUGAUUGAUGAUACAUCAACCUCAGCAACUCAAAAGCCACAAGCUGGGAAGGUUAGAACCGCUCUGUGCUGGGUGCCAGCUUGCUGGCCUGGGGAUAUUCAUCAUUGAACAGCUCUGAAAGGGAGACACAGCCAGUGGAUCGUAUCUGUGGGCUGAAUUUCAAGAUGGGAAGGAUGGACAUCAGAGAAGUCAAGGCUUCCUAAGGCUCACAUUUCUGUGGAAAAAGCGCAGAAAAUAUAAAAUACGGGCCUCAUGUGGCCUUCGAACCACCUGCCCAACGCUUUCUGGCCUGCAUGCUCUCCACAUGGCUGGCUCCCACUGCUCGGCUCUGUGAAGCAGAACUUGAGCCUCUAGUGACUGCUUGUCCAGAUCUAAAGGUGUUUCCUGAGAGACGAUUCGGCCUUGCAUGCAGGUACUUCUGCAGACCACAGCAGCGCCCCAGAGAUGUGACUCCCUCUCCCUGCACGUACACAGGGCUGGCUCCUAAGCGACACAUCAAAUACCAGCUCUACUGCCCAUGCCCGAUACCAAGUGAGAUAAUGUGUGUUCAACCCUUACGUUGCUGCACAGAGAAAAUGUCAAUAAA